rnacentral:rRNA from 1 species
GACGAACGCUGGCGGCGUGCUUAACACAUGCAAGUCGAGCGGAAAGGCCCUGCUUUUGUGGGGUGCUCGAGUGGCGCACGGGUGAGUAACACGUGAGUAACCUGCCCUUGACUUUGGGAUAACUUCAGGGAACUCGGGCUAAUACACGAUAGGAGCUCCUGCUGCAUGGUGGGGGUUGGAAAGUUUCGGCGGUUGGGGAUGGACUCGCGGCUUCUCAGCUUGUUUGUGGGGUAGUGGCUUACCAAGGUUUUGAAGGGUAGCCGGCCUGAGAGGGUGACCGGGCACAUGGGGCCUGAGAGACGGACCAGACGCCAACGGGCGGCAGCAGGGGGGAGUAUGGCACAGUGGGCGGAAGCGUGAUACAGCAACGCCGCGUGCGUGAUGACGGCUUUCGGGGGGUAAACAGCUUUCGCCGGUGACGAAGCGUGAGUGACGGUAAUGGGUAAAGAAGCACCGGCUAACUACGUG